CCAUUCUGGUACCCUAUAACUCCUCCCACUUUCAGCAGUAAGUAGCCAGAAUAAAAACAAUGCCCAAAUCCCAUGAAAAUGGAAUGGAAUUUGACAGUGGGGAGUCGUAACCAAGUACCUCAUUUUCUUAAAAAGAAUUAUUUUUACCUUUUUUUCUUUUUCCCUCACCUCUUACUUUACUCUUUAGGAAUACAAUUAUAAACUUUACCUUCUUUCCAACAGACACUCCCUGUGAAGCAGGAGAAUAGGGUCUGGAGGCAGGGAACCUAAAGCUGUUUCACACUAACUUCCUAGAACUAAAUUGAAAGGAAAGCCCUAACUUUCCACACCUAAGUAACAAAAGGACCAGAGGCUACUCCCUUUGCAAACCCCCACCUUUCCUUUGCUGCAGAUGGGAAAUUGAAAGUACCUCUGAUUGGCUGAUUUUGGCAACCAAUCAGACCUUUAUAUAGGAGUGUAACUUUAUAACUGGAUGAAUGGAUGAGAAAAAAAGGACAAAGUAUUUAAAGCAUUUCCUAUGAAAAUGACAUGUUUAUAUGAGAGUUGCAAUAAAAAUACGGAGUGCUGAGUCAAACUACUGAUAAACAACAAAUAUUUUUCACAUAUGUAUUUGUGUGUAUAUAUAUACACACAUACAUACAAACACAUAUACUGCAUAUUAUUUAUUUAUAUUUAUAUACAAUAUAACAUAUUUAGAUACUUCAUACUGAUAUUAUUCACAUACAUAUUUAAUUGUAUUAAUAUAUAGGAACUAGAAAAGUAGUUUGGUUCUACUUUCUUUGGCCUUUUUUGAAAUCGUGUAUGCUCUGAUAAUGGGAAAUUUCCCUAAGCUGAGGUUUUCUUAUCCCAUUUUCUAUUCGCAAAAACUCACAGUUUGAACUUAUUUCGCAAACCUGGAAAAGGCAACAAAAACACACCAACUUCAGAAUAUCUAGGGCAAUGGUAUCUACCUCUUGAAGCAGAUUGUAGAAUGGCUGCCCUGCCAAAUAAGUUUUUUCAGGUAUAGUGACCUGCACACUGGUUUCAGUCAUGCUCAUGCAUCUUACAAGUCCCUUUCUGGUGAGAGAAAACCACAAAGAUUCAGUAUUUAGAGUUGUGGAUGAAACAAAAUUUAUGUUGUUCAUUUCAAGCUUGCUUUUAAAUACUUACCUCCCAACACCUCUCCCCGAGUACACUAUUUUGUAAUAUCCAGAUUGAGGCUUUCUUUAGGAAUGAUUUUCCCCCAUAGUGAAUGUAAGGGGGCACAAAAAAACUCAGGAUUCCAGAAAAAUAACACUUUUUGCACUACUCUGAAAAAUCAAAAAUAUUAUGAGCAAAUUAUCAAAUAUUUACAUAAAACCAGAAUUUGCCCAUCCACUUGCACGACCAUGCCUUACUCUCCUCACCCUGAUCAUGGUUCUUGUUCCAAUCAAAUUCUAUUUAUACAAACCUAGUUAUCAGGCCAAAGUUUCCCCACUUGAUUCAUUUAAAUGUUGCUUGAAAAUAUUUACCUUGGUGUCCAGGAGGCAUUGCCUCCACCCUGAAGCCCAAGGGCAAACAGGCCCCAGCAGCCUUGAAACCCCUAGGUAGCUUUUGGCUCAGAAAGGUUUGGAAGGGGCCUGGGGAAAGAGAAUAAGCCCUGAGCCCAGCCCCUGCUCCGUGAAAAGUCGGUGCCGCCUAAGCAUGCCACUUACCUAACACGUCCGGGUAUGGAACGAGUUGAAAAAUGUUCUUCAGCUCCUGUAGUUGCACCAGUGUGAAAGUGAAGAGCCAGAGGAGCUGCUGACUGUCCUCAGGCUUUCUGAGUUCGUGGCCACUGCCACUGACGAGUUUCUCUUUGUCCAUGGGGCCAGGGCCUGCCGCACUACCACGGCAUUCUGCUGGUGCUGCUGGUGCGGCUGCUCCUAGUUUACAUCUGGACGGUAUUUUGCCCUCCUCGUUUUCGCCUGAUACAAUCACUGAGAUCACGGGAGGAAUCGCAUCUGGAAAGGCGGAAAGGCAAAGAGAAAGAUCAGAACACUGGAGGCCUGAGUUUAUGGGCUGGAGGAGGUUAGGGGCCGCAAACUGAAAGCUGCACAAAGAUAAUCGGCUGUCGCAGGAAAAGGUAGUUUGCCUGAGUUCACUGGAGCACCUGUCACCAUCCAGGCACUGACCAUUAAGUUCUUCCCGGUCCUCGAUUCCCAGGGUGCGAUAACGGUGCCAUCUUGGCUUCUCCUGGGCUGAAGUUUCAGUCCCUGCUGUUGAUGAAACGGUGCGCCUCCGCAGACUCUGGGCUGCGAUCUGCGGUAAUCCCCGGUCCGGACAAGAAGUGCAACGCUUCUUGAGAAAAGUCCAAGUACUCCAAAAUUUUGGCCAUGACUCCACCACCUCAGAAUGCAAGUGUAGACCGCAGCCCAGUGCUUAGUGCAUCC
rnacentral:lncRNA from 10 species